rnacentral:Y_RNA from 1 species
GGCUGGUCUUGAAGGUAGUGAGUUUUCUCAACUGAUCGUUCGCGGUCAGUUACAGAUGGAGCUACUGCGGUACACUUUCCCGCUUCUCACGACUGCACGGGACUCAUCUUUA